GAUGAACGCUGGCGGCGUGCCUAAUACAUGCAAGUCGAGCGAACAGACGAGGAGCUUGCUCCUCUGACGUUAGCGGCGGACGGGUGAGUAACACGUGGAUAACCUACCUAUAAGACUGGGAUAACUUCGGGAAACCGGAGCUAAUACCGGAUAAUAUAUUGAACCGCAUGGUUCAAUAGUGAAAGACGGUUUUGCUGUCACUUAUAGAUGGAUCCGCGCCGCAUUAGCUAGUUGGUAAGGUAACGGCUUACCAAGGCAACGAUGCGUAGCCGACCUGAGAGGGUGAUCGGCCACACUGGAACUGGGACACGGUCCAGACGCCUACGGGAGGCAGCAGUAGGGAAUCUGCCGCAAUGGGCGAAAGCUUGACGGAGCAACGCCGCGUGAGUGAUGAAGGUCUUCGGAUCGUAAAACUCUGUUAUUAGGGAAGAACAAAUGUGUAAGUAACUAUGCACGUCUUGACGGUACCUAAUCAGAAAGCCACGGCUAACUACGUG
rnacentral:rRNA from 1 species